UACAGAGGGGGCAAGCGUUAUUCGGAAUUAUUGGGCGUAAAGCGCACGUAGGCGGUUUGUUAAGUCGGAUGUGAAAUCCCUCGGCUCAACUGAGGAAGUGCAUCCGAAACUGGCAAGCUUGAGUACGAAAGAGGAUCGCGGAAUUCCCGGUGUAGAGGUGAAAUUCGUAGAUAUCGGGAGGAACACCGGUGGCGAAGGCGGCGAUCUGGGUCGAUACUGACGCUGAGGUGCGAAAGCGUGGGGAGCAAACAGG
rnacentral:rRNA from 1 species